rnacentral:lncRNA from 1 species
UGGACAAAGAUACACAAAACAAAUUGUGAAAAUAAUGUAGAGCUACUUUUAUUAGAAACAUGAAACCUAUUUGAUGGAUACAUGAAAAAAUAGCUAAGUUUGCUUUGAACAUUAUAUGAUGGGUUGAAACACUCCAAAUGAAUGUAUUUGAAUUAAAAUGACAUAUACAUAUACAUAUACAUAUACGAAUCAGUUAGUUACUUGAUGUAUUUCUUUAAAAUAAUAGGCUUCUUAAUUUGACAUUGUUUACUACACCAAAUCAACAUUGGUAGAAUGAUUUACUUAUUUUAUACUCUUUGUUUUUUUUAAAUUUAAGAUAUGAUUUAAACACUAAAACAAUAGAAAUAUGGAGUUUUUUCAUGAAUAUUUUUAUUGACUUAAUUUGUAAUAUAUUGAUAUUUGAGAUUUUUUAAAUCUAAAACUCUAGAAUAUAAUGUAUUGAUAUCAUAAUAUGUUAUUUUUAAAAAAAGACAUGAAAAAAAGAAAUAAAGAAAAUGACAGUUUUUAUAGACAAAUAUUUGUUAAAGUUAUGAAAAACAAAACAAAUUUAGAAAAUAACGCAGAGUUACUUUUAAUAGAAACAUGAAACCUAUUUGAUGGAUACAUGAAAAAAUGGCUAAGUUUGCUUGGAACAUUAUAGGAUGGGUUGAAACACUCCAAAUGCAUGUAUUUGAAUUAGAAUGCCAUAUACAUAUUACUUAGCUAUUUAAUGUAUUUGUUUAAAUUAAUAAGCUUCUUAAUUUUACAUUGUUUACCUCACCAAAUCAACAUUGGUAGAAUGAUUUACUUAUUUUAUACUUUUUUUUGAAAAUUUAAAAUGUGUUUUAAACACUAAAACAAGACAAAUAUGCAGUUUUUUUUAUGAUGAAUUUUAUUGACUUAAAUGGUAAUGCCAUAUUUGAGUUUUUUUAAAUCUAAAAUUUUAAAAUAUAAUGUAUUGAUAUCAUAAUAUGUUGUUUUAGAAAAACGACCAUGAAAAAAAGAAAUAAAGAAAAUGACAGUUUAUAUAGACAAAGAUGUGUUAAGUUAUGAGAAAUAUAACAAAUUGUGAAAAUGACAUAGAGCUACAUAUAUUAGAAAGAUGAAACCUAUUAGAUGGAUACAUGAAAAAAUAGCUAAAUUUGCUUUGAACAUUAUAGGAUGGGUUGAAACACUCCAAAUGCAGGUCUUUGAAUUAAAAUGAGAUAUACAUAUACAUGUUAAUUAUUUACUUAAUGUAUUUCUUUAACAUAUUAGCCUUCUUAAUGUGACAAUGUUUACUAAACCAAAUCAAUAUUGGUAGAAUGAUUUUUUUACUUAUUUUAUAAAAAAAAAUUAAUUUUAAAAUAUGUUUUAAACACUAAACAAAGAGAAUAUGCAGUUUUUUUAUGAUUAAUUUUAUUGACUUGAGUUGUAAUGUAUUGAUAUAUGAGAUUUUUUAAAAUCUAAAACUCUAAAAUAUAAUGUAUUGAUAUCAUAAUAUUUAAUUUUUAAAAAAUGACCAUGAAAAAAAGAAUUAAAGAAAAUGACGGUUUAUAUGGACAAAGAUACACAAAACAAAUUGUGAAAAUAAUGUAGAGCUACUUUUAUUAGAAACAUGAAACCUAUUUGAUGGAUACAUGAAAAAAUAGCUAAGUUUGCUUUGAACAUUAUAUGAUGGGUUGAAACACUCCAAAUGAAUGUAUUUGAAUUAAAAUGACAUAUACAUAUACAUAUACAUAUACGAAUCAGUUAGUUACUUGAUGUAUUUCUUUAAAAUAAUAGGCUUCUUAAUUUGACAUUGUUUACUACACCAAAUCAACAUUGGUAGAAUGAUUUACUUAUUUUAUACUCUUUGUUUUUUUUAAAUUUAAGAUAUGAUUUAAACACUAAAACAAUAGAAAUAUGGAGUUUUUUCAUGAAUAUUUUUAUUGACUUAAUUUGUAAUAUAUUGAUAUUUGAGAUUUUUUAAAUCUAAAACUCUAGAAUAUAAUGUAUUGAUAUCAUAAUAUGUUAUUUUUAAAAAAAGACAUGAAAAAAAGAAAUAAAGAAAAUGACAGUUUUUAUAGACAAAUAUUUGUUAAAGUUAUGAAAAACAAAACAAAUUUAGAAAAUAACGCAGAGUUACUUUUAAUAGAAACAUGAAACCUAUUUGAUGGAUACAUGAAAAAAUGGCUAAGUUUGCUUGGAACAUUAUAGGAUGGGUUGAAACACUCCAAAUGCAUGUAUUUGAAUUAGAAUGCCAUAUACAUAUUACUUAGCUAUUUAAUGUAUUUGUUUAAAUUAAUAAGCUUCUUAAUUUUACAUUGUUUACCUCACCAAAUCAACAUUGGUAGAAUGAUUUACUUAUUUUAUACUUUUUUUUGAAAAUUUAAAAUGUGUUUUAAACACUAAAACAAGACAAAUAUGCAGUUUUUUUUAUGAUGAAUUUUAUUGACUUAAAUGGUAAUGCCAUAUUUGAGUUUUUUUAAAUCUAAAAUUUUAAAAUAUAAUGUAUUGAUAUCAUAAUAUGUUGUUUUCAAAAAAAUGACCAUGAAAAAAAGAAAAAAAGAAAAUGACAGUUUAUAUAGACAAAGAUGUGUUAAAUUAUGAGAAAUAUAACAAAUUGUGAAAAUGACAUAGAGCUACAUAUAUUUGAAAGAUGAAACCUAUUAGAUGGAUACAUGAAAAAAUAGCUAAAUUUGCUUUAAACAUUAUAGGAUGGGUUGAAACACUCCAAAUGCAGGUCUUUGAAUUAAAAUGAGAUAUACAUCUACAUGUUAAUUAUUUACUUAAUGUAUUUCUUUAACAUAUUAGCCUUCUUAAUGUGACAAUGUUUACU